rnacentral:misc_RNA from 1 species
UCCGAGUUGACCCCGGCAGUCUCCUAUGAGUCCCCGCCAUAACGCGCUGGCAACAUAGAACGAGGGUUGCGCUCGUUGCGGGACUUAACCCAACAUCUCACGACACGAGCUGACGACAACCAUGCACCACCUGUGCAGGACCCUUGCGGACCCGACGUUUCUGCCGGAUUUCCCUGCAUGUCAAGCCUUGGUAAGGUUCUUCGCGUUGCAUCGAAUUAAGCCACAUGCUCCGCCGCUUGUGCGGGCCCCCGUCAAUUCCUUUGAGUUUUAGCCUUGCGGCCGUACUCCCCAGGCGGGGCGCUUAAUGCGUUAGCUGCGGCACGGACCCCGUGGAAGGGAACCCACACCUAGCGCCCAACGUUUACGGCGUGGACUAC